UACAGAGGGGGCAAGCGUUGUUCGGAAUUACUGGGCGUAAAGGGCGCGUAGGCGGCCUGUUAAGUCGAACGUGAAAUCCCCGGGCUCAACCCGGGAACUGCGUCCGAUACUGGCAGGCUUGAAUUCGGGAGAGGGAUGUGGAAUUCCAGGUGUAGCGGUGAAAUGCGCAGAUAUCAGGAGGAACACCGGUGGCGAAGGCGGGUCUCUGGGCCGAUACUGACGCUGAGGAGCGAAAGCGUGGGGAGCGAACAGG
rnacentral:rRNA from 1 species